rnacentral:rRNA from 1 species
CACGUAGGGGGCGAGCGUUGUCCGGAUUUAUUGGGCGUAAAGAGCUCGUAGGCGGCUCAGUAAGUCAGGUGUGAAAACUCCAGGCUCAACCUGGAGACGCCAUCUGAUACUGCUGUGGCUAGAGUCCGGUAGGGGAGCAUGGAAUUCCUGGUGUAGCGGUGAAAUGCGCAGAUAUCAGGAGGAACACCAGUGGCGAAGGCGGUGCUCUGGGCCGGAACUGACGCUGAGGAGCGAAAGCGUGGGGAGCAAACGGG